UAGGAGGUUGUAUAAUUUGGUAGUACGCAAAGUUUUGGGCUUUGUUGUGCAGGUUCGUAGCCUGUCCUUCUAG
rnacentral:tRNA from 1 species